CCAUUUUUCAGCUAGGAACAUGCUCCAUCUUAUUAUCGAAGCCUGUAUCUCGAGAAAGUUGAUCGAUACAUCUGCUUAUUUAUGGACUGGUUAUGUUGUACCAUCUGGGACUUUAAAAGAUACAGCUUUGCCCCAAGAAUCCCCUUGGUUAAACUUUAUGAAAGGGUCUCGACUUUCAGGACCCCUUAUUGAUGCUCUGGUCGCAUCUCCUGCUUCAAGUUCAAGCUCUUCAAGGUGAGGUCUGUUCAGUUUGGCCAGAAAGGCAUCCCCUACCUGAACACCUACGACGGCCGCACCAUCCGCUACCCCGACCCGCUCAUCAAGGCCAACGACACCAUCAAGAUCGAUCUAAAGACCAACAAGAUCAUGGACUUCUUCAAGUUUGACGUCGGCAACGUGGUCAUGGUGACCGGCGGGAGGAACACCGGGCGUGUAGGAGUGAUCAAGAACUAGGAGAAGCACAAGGGCAGCUUCGAGGUCAUCGACGUGCUGCUUGGAGCUUUUUGCAUGCUAUGUCUAGUUUUCUCCUAUUUGUUGUACAGGAAAACAUAGAAUGGAAUUCAAAUUUGGUGGUCGCAAAAGUGUGGAGACUAGAAUUCAUAUAAAGUUAGGCUUAACAUUAGUGCAAAUAGUUGUAUUUUAGUUUAGAUUUAGAGUACACUUAUGUAUGCCUUGUUUGACAAUACUUAUUUAUGAUAUAUUGAAUGGUACUUAUUUAUAUUAUAUUAA